rnacentral:rRNA from 1 species
CCCUUAGAUGUUCUGGGCCGCACGCGCGCUACACUGACGAAUUCAACGAGCUUAUAACCUUGGCCGAAAGGUCUAGGUAAUCUCCAAAAUUCGUCGUGAUGGGGAUAGAUUAUUGCAAUUAUUAAUCUUGAACGAGGAAUUCCUAGUAAACGCAAGUCAUCAGCUUGCAUUGAUUACGUCCCUGCCCUUUGUACACACCGCCCGUCGCACCUACCGAUUGAAUGACUCGGUGAAAAAUUGGGACUGUGAUUGAAAUUGCUUCAUUGCGAAUUUAAUCAUGGAAACUUUCUUUAACCUAGGCAUUUAGAGGAAGGUGAAGUCGUAACA